rnacentral:rRNA from 1 species
UACGUAGGGGGCAAGCGUUAUCCGGAUUUACUGGGCGUAAAGCGCGUUAAGGCGGUCGGCAAAGUUGGUGGUGAAAUUUCGGGGCUCAACCCCGAAACUGCCUCCAAUACUGGUCGACUAGAGUGCGAGAGAGGAAGGUGGAAUUCCCGGUGUAGUAGUGAAAUGCGUAGAUAUCGGGAGGAACACCAGUGGCGAAGGCGGCCUUCUGGCUCGUAACUGACGCUGUAGCGCGAAAGCGUGGGGAGCGAACGGG